AAAAUGACUCUCGGCAACGGAUAUCUCGGCUCUCGCAUCGAUGAAGAACGUAGCGAAAUGCGAUACUUGGUGUGAAUUGCAGAAUCCCGUGAACCAUCGAGUCUUUGAACGCAAGUUGCGCCCCAAGCCGUUAGGCCGAGGGCACGUCUGCCUGGGCGUCACGC
rnacentral:rRNA from 1 species